CGGAGGCAGCAGUGAGGAAUAUUGGGCAAUGGGCGAAAGCCUGACCCAGCGACGCCGUGUGGGUGAUGAAGGCCUUCGGGUUGUAAGGCCCUGUUGGGUGGAAAGAAGGGCUUUUGGACGAAUAAUCCAGAAGUCUUGACGGUACCACCAGAGGAAGCACCGGCUAACUCCGUGCCAGCAGCCGCGGUAAUACGGAGGGUGCAAGCGUUGUUCGGAAUUACUGGGCGUAAAGGGCGCGUAGGUGGUUGUGUAAGUCAGAUGUGAAAUCCCGAGGCUCAACUUCGGAACUGCAUCUGAUACUGCAUGACUCGAGUGCAGCAGAGGGAAACGGAAUUCCUGGUGUAGAGGUGAAAUUCGUAGAUAUCAGGGGGAACACCGGUGGCGAAGGCGGUUUCCUGGGCUGACACUGACACUGAGGCGCGAAAGCGUGGGUAGCAAACAGGAUUAGAAACCCCAGUAGUCC
rnacentral:rRNA from 1 species